CCUGAACACGCCUGAUCUCGUCUGAUCUCGGAAGCUAAGCAGG
ensembl:rRNA 5S_rRNA 5S ribosomal RNA